CAGAGUUUGAUCCUGGCUCAGAUUGAACGCUGGCGGCAUGCUUUACACAUGCAAGUCGAACGGCAGCGCGGGGCAACCUGGCGGCGAGUGGCGAACGGGUGAGUAAUAUAUCGGAACGUACCCAGAAGUGGGGGAUAACGUAGCGAAAGUUACGCUAAUACCGCAUACGAUCUACGGAUGAAAGUGGGGGACCUUCGGGCCUCAUGCUUGUGGAGCGGCCGAUAUCUGAUUAGCUAGUUGGUGAGGUAAAGGCUCACCAAGGCGACGAUCAGUAGCUGGUCUGAGAGGACGACCAGCCACACUGGGACUGAGACACGGCCCAGACUCCUACGAGAGGCAGCAGUGGGGAAUUUUGGACAAUGGGCGCAAGCCUGAUCCAGCAAUGCCGCGUGAGUGAAGAAGGCCUUCGGGUUGUAAAGCUCUUUUGUCAGGGAAGAAACGGCCGAGGUUAAUACCUUUGGCUAAUGACGGUACCUGAAGAAUAAGCACCGGCUAACUACGUGCCAGCAGCCGCGGUAAUAAGU
rnacentral:rRNA from 1 species